rnacentral:rRNA from 1 species
AGAAUCAACGCUGGCGGCGUGCCUCAGACAUGCAAGUCGAGCGCGAAAGUCCCCUUCGGGGGCAAGUAGAGUGGCGCACGGGUGAGUAACACGUAGGUAAUCUACCUUUGGAUGGGGAAUAACAAUCGGAAACGGUUGCUAAUACCGCAUAAUGCAGCGGCACCUAAUGGUGACAGUUGUUAAAGCGGGGGAUCGAAAGACCUCGCGUCUGAAGAGGAGCCUGCGGCGGAUUAGCUAGUUGGUAAGGUAAUGGCUUACCAAGGCAACGAUCC